rnacentral:rRNA from 1 species
GCCUACGGCUAUACUGCCCUGAACACGCCCGAUCUCAUCUGAUCUUGGAAGCUAAGGAGGAUCGAGCCUGUUUAGUACUUGGAUGGGAGACCACGUGGGAGUGCUGGGUGCUGUAGGCU